UACAGAGGUCCCAAGCGUUGUUCGGAUUCACUGGGCGUAAAGGGUGCGUAGGUGGCGGGGUAAGUUUGAUGUGAAAUCUCCGGGCUUAACCCGGAAACUGCAUUGAAUACUAUUCUGCUUGAGGUUUGGAGGGGGGACUGGAAUUCUCGGUGUAGCAGUGAAAUGCGUAGAGAUCAUGAGGAAGACCAGUGGCGAAGGCGGGUCUCUGGACAGUUCCUGACACUGAGACACGAAGGCCAGGGGAGCAAACGGG
rnacentral:rRNA from 1 species